GGAUUUAACAAACAAGGGUCUCACUGGCAACAUACCUCCAAGCAUAGCCAACUUAACAGCAUUAGAACAGUUGCUGUUGGGCAACAAUAAUUUUUCAGGCUCUAUUCCAGAUCUCAGCACAUUGAAGAACCUUAAGACAUUGCAACUGCAAAAUAAUCAACUAACUGGAGACAUUCCGAGUUCAUUACAGAAACUCCCCAUGUUAAAUGAGCU